UUAACUCACCCUGCAAACAUUUAUUUGUGGUUUCAUGUUGUGAAAUUUGUUGUUAUUAGAGUUAUUAAAUGGCGAACAGAGGAAAUAACAGAAAAGAUCACCAUAACUCCGGAUGCAGACAAAACACCAAUUAUCCAAAAGGAUCUUUUAGAUCUGGAUAUGGCGCAAAUCAGGGGAAUUCGUCCUGGAGACAUGGCAGAGGCUCCGGGGGCAGAAGUUACAACCAAGAUUGGAUUGAUGAAAGGAGUGGAUGGAAGAUCCGUGGAAUUGAACAUUACUCUUACAGAAUGCCAACUCAACACAAUUUAAGAAGAAACGGGAAAAUGUGGAGCAAUAACAGAGAAACAAUUGAAAAGGGCCAUUAUAAUGAGAAUCCUGGAAAUUCCGGGGAGAACUUUUUACAAAAUCCUGAUGACUUACUUCAUAUGAAAGUGCCUUCUGAGUUUAACCCAGCUGUCCCACCUCCUACUCUGUUUAAGAAUCCCCAGCACACACAUUAUGCCGAUCCGGAUCCGGCCCACCCAAGGCACCCUUUCCCGCCCGGUAGACAAUGGUUAACAGGAGUAAAAGAAACAGUGGGGAAAAGAAAGAGAUCGGUUGAAAAUUAUAAAACGGAGGGAGUGCUAAACGAAAAACUAAAGAAAAUUAAAACUGAAAUCAAGUGUGAAAGCAGUUCAGAUGAAUAUGAGGAAACUAAAACUAUUCGAAUCCUAAGUACGAAAGAGUUAAAUCCACAGAAAUAUUUAAAACAUCGGAUCAAAGAAUAUAAAGUGCUGGAGUCCAGAAUAAAGGAGAAAGCUUCGGAUGGAACUCUUGAAGAACUCUUGUUGGAGGAAAGAGAUGCACUUAAAAGUAUAAUACUUGUAGAAAUCAAAAAUUUGCCGCAGAAUUCCCUUUUUCUUAAACUUAUUAGUGAUGAAGACGACGGCUGUGAGGACGUAGAAGAUUCUGAGGAUCUUGUCGCGGAUCUAGGAAAACAUGGAACAACAAAAUCAUUUAUCAGAUUUCUAAAUUUUAUCAGGGUUGAAUAUUUUGAAAGUACGAUUAAGAGUCUUUUAUCCGUCCCUGUUGAUAAAACAAGGUUUACUCUUCUCCAUUCAACCUUCCCACAGCCCUCUUUCAGACGGAGUAAAUCAGAGGAUAGUGCUAAACAAACCCCAACCGAUGUCGGAAAAAAUGAGCGUGAAAAUGAUCUACGAGAAAAUGAAGCUAGAAGUAGUCGACAAGAUACAAGAAAAACAAAAUCUGAGGAGAGGAAUUCCUCUGAAAAUGAAACUGAUGAAAUGGAAAUUUUGAGUGAAAAACCGCGAAGUUCAUCAGCUGAAAAUGCGCAAACGAUUUCUGUGGAUUAUCAAAAGGCCGACAAUGCUGCAGAUACAAAAGAGGAGGAGUUAAAAUUAGAUCUGGAAGAUUUUAAGGAGAACCAGUUGGGCAAGUUCAAACUAAGGUUUAAGAAUAUCAGUCGGUUUAAAACUGAAACCGAUGUCAGAUCACAUUUUUCAAUUUUCGGAGAUAUUUACCGGAUUCAUUUAGAGGACGAAGAACCAGUUUCACCAGGAGAUAAACUCAAAGGGUUUGACACUGUCUACAUUGAGUUUGAGAGUGGGCACAGCAUGUACAAGGCCAUACUAGAAACAAAUCUUGGAUGCAGAGUUUCAAAAUCUUGCCUUACAAAGACAGGUUUGAUAAAGUAUGGUUAUCCAGUGGAAGAUGAACAGUUGGAGCCAUCCUCCACAUGGUUUCCUAAAUCUUCAAAUAAUUUCUUUAAAUCUUGUUCUUUUGAGAUGGAAAACGAUUCCUGCUCAGCGAACAAAAACCUUCCCACUCCAAAGAUGACUAGUGAAUCUUCUAUUCAAGAGCCAAGCUCAUCAAAACAAGAGUGUAAUUCUUCUAUCUCUAAUAUUUCAGUAAGGUCUCUCUCGGAAUUAAAAGAAAAAGAAAGCUAUUAUGAAAAAAUUGAAUUUAAGAAGAGAAGAAAUUCAUGUGAAAAUGGAAAAAAAGACGAGAGUGAAAAUUCACAAAAAAGAAAAUCUAGUGAAAGACGAAAGAUGGAGAAACGAAGUAAAGAACGCAGUGAAGAAAGAAGCGAAUUUAAACAAAGAAGGCAUUCUAACGAAAGUAGAAUGUCAGAUUCAAGAGAAAGAAAAAAAAAAGAUCGACGAAACCGAUCUUCUGAAGAACAAAUGAAGGAAGAGGAUCGAAGCAAUCAAUCUUGUAAAGCAAAUUUACCGGAUUUAAAGUUAGAGUUAAGCAAUUUGAAACAACGCGGAGAGAAAGAAGAUGAAAGCUGGGUAUGCAGUGAGUGUGGAACCUUUAAUUUCCCUUACAGAUGGUAUUGCUAUAAGAACUUACAACAGAGAUGUCAGGGUACACGACCACAAAACCAUAAGAAAAGAAGUUUGCGUAAUUAUGGACACAGUCCAGAGUUAAAUUUUACCAAAUACCGAGAACAGAGGCCCUCUAGACGACUAGAUGAGGAUGGACGGAGGUCCUCUGGACGAAUAGAUGAGGCUAAACGUAGGCCCUCUAGCCGACUAGAUGAGGAUGGACGGAGGUCCUCUGGACGAAUAGAUGAGGAUGAACGUAGGUCCUGUAGACGAAUAGAUGAGGAUGAACGUAGGUCCUGUAGACGAGUAGAUGAGGAUGAACGUAGGUCCUGUAAACGAGUAGAUGAGGAUGAACGGAGACCCUUUAGAGGACUAGAUGAAGAUGAAGGAUGUUUAGUGAGCGAGGAUACAGAGGUUCAGGAUGAUGGAAGUGAAUCUAUUAGGUUGAAUAGAAGGGAGGUUGAGGAGGAGAAGAGAAUACAGGCAAUGCGGAAUAUACAACUAAAGGAGAAGUUAAAUAGGACGGAGGAGGAGGAGAGUACAGAGGAGUUUCGGAGGCACUGGGACAUACAGUUGGAGGACAGUCGGAGGCAGAAAUAUCGGAGGGAACAGGAUAGAGAAUAUGUUCAGAGCCUUCGCUCCGGUGUCGCUGAGCUUGAACCCGGAGAACUAGUUAGUCCUAGGAAGCAUUUUAUAAACAUCCUUUCAGAUCAAUCAAUCGAUCAAUCACCCUCGGCACUAUCCUACCGAGGAUCCCAGGACCGCUCUGCGACUUCGAGACUAAGUCCUGAAAUUCAACUGGUUGAACCUGAUAAACAUCUUUCCUCUGGUUUAAAACCUAACUUUCUUUCUCACUCAGAAUCCAACGCUAAUACCGAACCUAUUCUACAAAUUCGGUCUCAAGGUUUUGAAACUCGGUCACAGAGUUACAAGACUCAGUCCCAGGGACUUAAAUCUUGUGACACAGUGUUACGACGUCUGUUAAACCUAGCAGGAGGAUACGCUGAACCGGGACAUAAAGGGAAUCAAGAUCUAUUAGUUAGGGAGGUUUAUGAUGUCGAGGAUGAUGAGAAUAAUGGAAAUGAAGUUGAGGAGGGAAUACCAUUGGUUCAACUACGACAACCUUUGCGGCUAGACGAGGAUAAGGAUGAAGUAAUCUGUUGUGAUGAAACCUCUCAGGAUAAUUCAGAAAUCGAGAUUUUGGAAAAUGAAGCUGGACCACCUGCACCCUCAGUUACUUUUAAAUCUAGAUCUCAGCAAAGUACACAUUUCCAGAUUAUUGGAAAGGAAGCUGGACCACCUCCACUCCCAGUUAAUUUUAAAUCUAGAUCUCAGCCAAGUUCAGAUUUGGAGAUAAUGGAAAAUGAAGCUGGACCACCUCCACCACCAGUUACCUCUAAAUCUAGAUCUCAACCAAGUUCAGAUUUGGAGAUAAUGGAAAAUGAAGCUGUACCACCAACACCUCCAGUUACUUCUAAAUCUAGAUCUCAGCCAAGUUCAGAUUUGGAGAUAAUGGAAAAUGAAGCUGGACCACCAACAUCUCCAGUUACUUCUAAAUCUAGAUCUCAGCCAAGUCCAGAUUUGGAGAUAAUGGAAAAUGAAGCUGGACCACCUCCACCCCCAGUUACCUCUAAAUCUAGAUCUCAGCCAUGUUCAGAUUUGGAGAUAAUGGAAAAUGAAGCUGGACCACCUCCACCACCAGUUACUUCUAAAUCUAGAUCUCAACACAAUUCAGAUCUUAAGAUAGUUGAAAAUGAGGCUGAAACACCCCCAGUUACUUUUAAAUCUAGAUCUCAACCAAGUUCAGAUUUGGAGAUAUUGGAAAAUGAGAUGGGACCACCUCAAGUUUCCGGUGAAUCAAUAUCUCAGAAAAAUACUAAUUUGGAUAUUUUGGUAAAUGAAACUGAACCAACUCCAAUAACCACUGAAUCAAGAUCUCGGCAUUAUUCAGAUCUUGAGAUAUUGGAAUAUGAAGCUGAACCCUCUCGAAUUCCCUCUGAAUCUAUAUCUCAACCUAGUUCAGAUCUUGAAAUUUUGGAAGACGACAUCUCUACUGAAUUUCAACACUACAGACGUAAAAAGAAUCUGGGAAUGCACGUAUAUGAAAGGACACCAGUGACCCAGGAAGUCGUCACCCUUUCUGACUCUGAUGAUUCUGAUCUGGGGAAGUAUAGCCCUGGGCCUUAGAAGGGAUAAAGAGAGAAAGAGAGAGUGGGACCAUAGAGAAAUAAUGCGAAUGCGAUCAAACUUCUGGCUUGUGUAGUGUUUAAACGGUAUCAGAUGAAAUUUAUGGCAAUUACACACAUAAAUUUUGAUAUGAUAAUACAUUAAACCAAAUGGUUAUUUAUAUUUUUUUAUAUUGAUACAUAUUCUAUUUUGAAACAUUUUACUCAAAGUAGUAUAUUUGUUACGCAGCUAUUUUUCAGA
rnacentral:misc_RNA from 1 species